rnacentral:tRNA from 1 species
GGCACUAUGGCCGAGUGGUUAAGGCGUGGGAUUUGAGUCCCCAUGGGCUUGUCCGCAUCGGUUCAAAUCCGGUUGGUGUC